GGCCGGAGCGCCUGCGCCCGUCUCUCCAGCGCUUGCCGCAGAGCCUGCCGGGAAACGUAGUCUUGUAACGCUCUCUCGCUAGACGCUCCUUUCUGCUAGCGCCCAGCCUGUGAAGAGUCGGGGAUCGGGGAGAGGGUCUCACUAAAAAGGAGGUUUGCAGGCCUUGGCCAAGACCGGAGCUAGAGAUUUGCCUGCUGGCCUUGAAGAAGCAAGUUGUCAAGUUGUGUGAACCGCAUACGGAGGAGACCAUGUGGCAGCAAACUGCAGAUUGCUUCUAGAACUUGAGUGCAGCUUCCAGCUGACAAUCAGUAAGAAGCCAGGGCCCUCACUCAUGCAACUACAAGGAAAUGAAUUCUGCCAACAACCUGAGAGAGGUCAGUCUCCAGAUGAGAAGACAGCCUGACUUAUACCUUGAUAGCAGUUUUGUGAGACCCUGAGCAAAGGAAACAGCUAAACUGUGCCUGGACUCCUGGUCCACAGAAGCUGUGAGAUAAUAAAUGUGUCUUAAGAUAC